rnacentral:rRNA from 1 species
GUAGGGAAUUUUCCACAAUGGACGCAAGUUUGAAGGAGCAACGCCCGCNUGAGUGAAGAAGGUUUUCGGGAUUGUAAAACUCUGUUGNUAGAGAAGAACACGAGUGAGAGUAACUGUUCAUUCGAUGACGGUAUUUUACCAGCAAGUCACGGCNAACUACGUGCCAGCAGCCGCGGUAAUACGUAGGUGGCAAGCGUUGUCCGGAUUUAUUGGGCGUAAAGGGAACGCAGGCGGCCUUUUAAGUUUGAUGUGAAAGCNUUCGGCUUAACCGGAGUAGUGCAUUGGAAACUGGAAGACUUGAGUGCAGAAGAGGAGAGUGGAACUCCAUGUGUAGCGGUGAAAUGCGUAGAUAUAUGGAAGAACACCAGUGGCGAAAGCGGCUCUCUGGUCUGUAACUGACGGUGAGGUUCGAAAGCGUGGGUGCAAACAGGAUUAGAUACCCUGNUAGUCCACGCCGUAAACGAUGAAUGCUAGGUGUUGGAGGGUUUCCGCCCUUCAGUGCCGCAGCUAACGCAAUAAGCAUUCCGCCUGGGGAGUACGACCGCAAGGUUG